rnacentral:lncRNA from 1 species
GAAGUCCGGCUGGAGGCCAGGAAUCUGCAUUUUUAACCAGCACACUUCCUCCCUCCACCCCCACCCCAUGUGGUUUUGAUGCAGCUCAUCCUCGGACUCCACUUGGUGAAAUGCUGACACACACAGUAAUGAAGCAAAACUGCUUAAUUACAGGAACCAUUCCAACACCCACGUGCUAGGCUGUGAAGCAAGGGUGUCCGGUCCAUGGCUGUCCAGGUGGGUGAGAAGGAGAGGCCAGCGUUCAGUUCUGGGUGCAAAGGACAUGUCUUCUUGAUGGUCAUUCUAAAAAGCCCUUCUUAGGCACCACUGUACAGGUGGCUUUGCAAGCACCACACCCUGCGGGUCACACAGAUGUGGCCCUGUCUUCUGGCCACUUGCAGUCCACAAAGAAGGGACAGGGACAUGGAGCAGAACUGGCCAUAGAUGUGGCCCUGGUUCUUGGGCUUCUGGGUGCACCCAGCACCCUCUGCAGCCAGACAGGGUGGCCAGGGUCCACCGUCCACAUGUGCAUCUCGAUGCUCGCUCCCCGGAGUCACUCAGCUCACUGCUCAGGCACCCAGGGAACCUCUGGAGCUCACAGGGGACCCUUGACCUUCAAGCGCCUCCACCUCACAUGCAGCAGAUGGAGCUUGAGUCCAUGUCUAGAUCUGCUGGAUCACAGGGCCCACUUCCUUUCUGUCCCCAAAGCCAGGAAGACAGGGCCACAUCCAGUCUACCCCUCUGGGUUAGAGUGACCGGAAGAGAAUUCCUGAGUGCGUCUCCAGCAAACCCGUCUUGGUUUGGGUGAGUGAGAGGCAAAGACUUUGACAAAUAAUAGGACUUGUGUGAAGCUUUGAUUUGAUUCGAGAAAUCCUGCUAGCCCUGUAGCCUUGUUGACUCAUUUGGAAAUUUGACUCCAAAGGAGCAAAUGCAAAGUGUCUUUCGUAACCCAGCCUCCUUCCUUAGCUCUGAAGGGGGCGGUCAUGUGGGUGGAGGCUGGAAGGGAGCACGGGGCCUCCAAGGGAAGCCUGGAGAGCCUCCUGCUCCCAGAACCAUUCACUCGCAGGCUCCUGCUCUCUGUGCGUCUGCAGACAUCACGCGACAACCUCGUAACGCUCUCAGACCCAACAGGAAAACCAGCUGCGCCUCCAUCACCCUCCCCAAUGCAGACGGAGUUUCCUGUGACUCCAGGAAGGGGCACCUGGUGGGGGUGGGUAAGGAACAGGCACAGCCAAGGCUGAAAUGGCAUGAAAUAACGUCUAACAAUGCCAUCCUGGUCGUCAGUGUCACGUCUUUCCCCAGGCUCUCGUCCCGGACUUCCUUCCGUGCCGAGGGCGGCAGAGGUGUGGCUUCCCUCUCUGCUCAGAACCCGCGGCACAUCACUCUGGCUCCAGAACUCGCCUGGUGCUUUCCUGUGUCAGCAGCUUGGGGAGAGCAAGUGACACCUCAUCUCUCUCGAAGCACAUCGAACUUUCCCAAAGAGCAAACUCUGUCUCUUUUAGCAAAUGACUUCCAGAUGCUGGAAGCAGCGGCCAGUGGAAUUUUAUUCCCCCCAAACUGCGGUUCUGGGCCACAUACUUCUGACUUGAAGGUAAUUUGGAAUGUAAACAUUGCAAGGCGUGUACUGGAAUUAAUUAAAGCUACCCUGGAUUCUCCAAGGCCUGCUAGCCUGCAAUUAACUGUUUACAUUAACACGCAGCCAGCAGAUCAGCCGGAGUGUAGGUGAACCCAGGAUUAUGACUUUCCCCCUUUACCUUCAGAAACGAGUGAAACUGGACCCAGGCUGACCCGUUUCCCCAGCGGCAGCCAUCCAUCCUGACAUCAGAAGAGGCCUCUAAGCCAUCACCCUGGCCCCAGCAAACAGAGGGCAGACCACGCAGGGACAGCAGAACUGGCCCCGCGCAUCCACAGCCAUGAACCUCCCACUUGCUGUGUCACUAUUAGGAGCCAUCGAACUAGGAGAGCAAGUGUGCUCUGGUGGACAGUCACGCCCACGAUGGCUGGACGGGGAAAACUGUGGCUAAGAAAUCUAGAAACAGCUUUGGGGAAUAAUGACACAAAAACGGGAUGGAUGUUUGGACGACGAAUCGUGGUGAUGGUUAUAUAGCAGCGUGAAUGGACUUGAUGCUGCUGAACUGUCUGCUUAAAAAGGGUUAAAAUGAUCAGUUUCAGGUGUGAGUGCUUUAUCCCACAUGAGCAAGCAGGGUGACUGGGCUCUAAAGGCCCUCGGGGAUGGUGUCAGCUCUGAGGUUCCUGGGAGGGUCCUCACCCCCAUGUGACGCAAGCAUCCAGGGACAGUUCCACACAAUCCAGGGUGUGUCCCAGGCGUGCAUAGAACAUACCGGGAAGCCAUGCCCUGGGCUGGCCAGCCCCUCACCCCCCACAUCUGCAGAGCUGGAGGACUGCUGGCCAGGAGCAUGUCGUACCUGCUUUCAUUAUGGACGGCAGCCUUUGCACGGGACUCUGGAGGUCAGAGGUCAUCUCAGCCGACCAACUCCUCCUACAGGAGGAGAGAAACUUACCUGCCACAGGGUCCACACUGGGCUCAGUGGACAUUCCUGCUAAUACUAAGAAACAAGCCCUGUAACCUGCUUGUUGGUCCUGUUCUUCUCUCUCUUCUAAACACAGAGUGAAGUGCCAGUUCCUCUUUCACUAGUGCUUUAAGAAUUUGGAAAUAACAUUUCUGUGCCCAUCUGUACCUCCUCCGAUUCUCCCCUGAUUCUUCAGCUCUGAUGCUUCAGUUCCUCUGCUUGUGACCAGACCCUCCCCACCUGGGUGUCUUCCUUGGGCCCCCAGCGGGUUUUUUGAGUGAUGCCUGGAAGCAAACAUGAUCCCUACCAGUUGUCUGCUCAGGGGAUCUUAUGAUCUGUUCUGAUUUGACCUCUAUAUGUCCAACAGUGCAGCCCUGUGUUACAUUUUAACCCUCACAUCAUGCUCUUGCCUUUAAAAAAGCUCAUGGUCGCCUCAAUCCUCCAGAUUUAAAGACAUGAGUGGCUGCUGAGCAAGUGCUGCUGAGUCUUGAAGUUAGGGAAAUUUAUUUACCUAAACCCGGAAGUUGACACUCAGGCUUUGGGUGAUCCAUUAUGCUGAAUCAGGCCCCCAAGACACCUCAAUUCCCUCAGCGCUCCCUGGCCCAGCUCUGAGCUAUAAUUCUGUAAAUCGCAGUGUGAUAGAGGUGCUCUGGCCACCUUGUCAGUUGCAGAACCGAUCACAGCUGAUCCGCCUGCCCUGUCCCCCAGCCUGCAUGUCCCCACUCUGUUCCCAAGGCCGAAUGCGGCCUCUGCUGGGUGGUGGGUGAACCAGCCCAUUGCUGUCCACGCAGGCUGAAGGGCAGUGGGGCUCUCGCCUGGGGGUGGGUGCCUGACACUCUUGGGGCAAGUUAACCAGUGGAGAGCCGGUCACCCCACCUCACUGUAGGUCCGAGUUCAGCCUUUGCUUCCUUGCCGCCCAGACUUCCUUCCAAGCAACUCACCAAGGGUGACGGGGCUAUGAGGAUUUCUCCAGGAGCCCCAGGAGGGUGCUGGUUGGCAGGAAGGGAGCUCAGGAGCUCUGGAAGGAGAAGGGACCUGGGACUGGGGCCUGGAAAAUCCCCACGAACCAAAGAUCAUCCCUGCAAUCAGCAAGGGACAGUUUGGGGCAUUUGGUGUCAUUGGUUCGCUGAGAACCUUGCUUCCAAGACUGGGGAGUGGAUUUUCUGACUUGAAUGAGAAGGCCCCCCACGUGCCCCCUCGCCUCCUCCCCGGGCCUCCCCGGUGCAGACACCAAUGGGCUGGCUGAGACCAGGCUUUCAGCGGAAAACGCUUUUACUGCUCUUUGUCUAGUGACGCCUUUUCAAUGAGGACACCUCCUGGGAGAUGGCCGGUGGACCCCUGUCUGAGCAGCUCCCACACCGCCAGGCACCCUCUCUGCCAGGGAGGCCCAGGGCAGAGUCAGCAGCCUGCUGACUUUCUCAAGCUGUCACAUUCAGAUGGCAAAAUGCAGGACCUCGGAGCGUUUGGGGCAGCUGGACGGGGUCUCAGGGUGGGCACCACUGUGCAGCCCAGACUGCAAAGCAAACUGGUGUUUGCAUCCCUCUUGUGGCCUUUGUCACCACCACCCCCAACCGAUACGCAGACGUCUCAGCUCUGCCCCCUUUGUGCUUUGCGUACAUGGAAUCCUGCAGUGUGUGUUCUGGGACUCGUUUCCCUCCCUCAGUUAUUCUGGGAGACCCACCCGGGCGGCACCUGUGGUGCUGCCUGCCCCUGUGAAUAGCAUUCCUUGGACCAAUAACCAGGUGUUUUUAUCCAUCCUGCUGUCGAUGGGUAUUUGGCCCACUUUUUAGAAGAGCAAAUGUGUGCCUGCUCCUCGGAUACAUGUGCCCUGGGGCUGGAAUUGUGCAGAUGCUGAGCUGUAUUGCUGCCGGUCUCUUGAGGUGGUUGCAUGGCCGUGAGAACAGUCCUCUGCUGCCACCCGGCUACCUCCCUGCCUGUCCGGGUCUGUCCAUCUUCGCCCUCCCUCAGCCUGUGAAGGCCCCUUCCUUCUGAGGGAUACAAGGGAACAACUGGCUGCGCCCCCCGCCCCCGCCACUCUCCUGCACCUGCUCCUUCUGGAUGGUUUUCCACAGGUGCCUUGGGGUGACUCUGCAGGUUUACACGCAGGCGAGCCAGCAGGAGCCGUCAUCUUGUCCUUGUUCACCAGGGUGGGGUCGGGGGUUGGGCCAGCGUGACUCCUGCCUGCCCUUGACGGCUGUCAUCUCUGUCUGCCUUCCCUUUGCGCCGGUGGUCUGGGAAUGAGAGAGAAACGAGCAUUUGCUUAGACCGAAUGUGUGGCCCAUGGCCAAGGUCCAUCAAGCCCUGCCCCCCACACCACCGUGCUCCCCGGGGUUGCCUGUGUGCUGUGUCGACAUCUACCAUCCUUGGAGGCCUUGGCAAGGGUGUGAAAGGGAAGAGAAUCUAUUUAUUGAGCAAAGAGUAAGUUCUGGGUGCUGUUCAGGGACGUGGUUACUGAGAGAAUGAAUGACGGAAUGACUCCCUGUGGAACAAGUGAAAGGGCUCUGGCUCGCUCCCCGCAACAGAGGUCUUUGGGUCUCCUAGUUCCAGAGUGAGACAGCGCCACAGAUGCGUGGCCUUUGUCAGAAGUCUCAGUGUUCCUGACCCCAGAGGCUGGUCUCAUCUACAGGUCACAGCAGACUGUAGCGGUCGCGUCAGGCUGCGGCUCUUUGCACUGCGGACUCUCCUGGCCUCUGGGAACCAGGUCUGAGGAUGAGACUCGUCACAAGCUGCAGUCGGAGGACAGGCCUCAUGCACAGAGCGCAGGCGAGCCACCCAGGAAGUCAUGGGCUCCUCUGAGGCAGCCGGCUCUGUCCUGUUUACCUUCCACUCACCCGGGGCCGACCCCUGAAGCUGGACACGUGUGAGGCACCGACCGGCCGGCCAGAGCAGCCAGGGGCACGGGCUUUGCGGCCUCUUAGCUGUGUGACCUUGAGGAAAAGCCUGUGUUCCCCGCAGACCUUGGUUUCUUUAUCUGUAAAAUGGGGUGAUCCCAGCUCCCUCGGCUGUGUUGUUGUGAGGAUCAGAUCAGCCAGCGUGUGCAAAGGGCAGGACGGCUGUUGUUGGAGGAGAGAAUUCAAGGCACCUUCUCCAAGACAUGCCGGCGAGCAUCUGCUUCCUGUACCAGCCGAGAUGGGGCUGAGAACAGUGCUCAGACAGAGCUGGUCAUCCCUGCUUCUGCUGGAGGGGCAGCCUGUGGCACUGCUUGGCUGGAGAGGCAGCUGUAGGUUCAGAUCCCUGGAGACAGAGCCCUGAGGCCCAAGACACUACGCAGCUCUUCUGGUGCCAGGAGCACUGCUUGCUCCUUCCUGGCCAGGUCUCCGGCCAGGUAUCCAUGAAGGCUGCGGGCUGGCUCCCACCCGGUGCACGUGUAUGCCAUAGAGAGGGCUGGUUUGCUAGGGAGAGAAAUGCACACUCACAUGAAAAAAAUGACCAGUGAUGAGGGAAGAAGGCAGCCACCACUGCACUCGAUGUCCUGGGAUCUUGUGGCUUAAACAAGAGGCUUCAUGCCAAGCACCAGCCAAGUGCCUGAGCCAGGAGAGGGAAUCACUGCCUUACACCUGCUAGGACCCUGCCCUCAAAACCUGAACCAAACCAAGACAAACAGGAAGUAACAAGUGCUGACGAGGAUGGAGAGAAAUUGGAACACUUGUGCCUCGUUGGUGGGGACACAGCACGGUGCAGCCGCCGCAGGAAACAGAGCGGCAGUUCCUCCGGCAUUUAGAAUAUCACCACCAGGAGUUCCUGUCACGGCUCAGUGGUCAUGCACCCUACUAGUAUCCAUGAGAAUGCGGCUUUGAUCCCUGGCCUCAUUCACUGGGUUGGGGAUCUGGCGUUACUGUGGCUGUAGUGUAGGCUGGCAGCUGCAGCUCCAAUUCGACCCCUAGCCUAGCAACUUCCAUAUGCCGCAGGUGCAGCCCUG